rnacentral:lncRNA from 10 species
GUUUUCUAUUUUUUGCUAUUGUAUAAUAUUGUACAACACUGUGCAUAUCUCUUUAUCUGUGUGUCUCUAAUUGUUCCCUUAAACAGAUUUCUAGAUAUGGAUUUACUGGUCAAAGAAAAUGCAAAUUUUUAAAACUUAGAAUAAUAUAAUUGUCCUCUCCACAAUUUGCAACAGUUUAUGGUCCCACCAGCAAUAUAAAUGAGUAUUAGUGAGCCCUCAAACCAUCACUGAGUACAAUAGACUCUUGGAACUUCCCAGAAGGUUCCUAACAUGUAGUAACUGGUAACUGGUUGAGACAGGAGUGGGAAACUGUCACGACUGAUGUGAGGCGAUCACUUAGCACUCUAUGAGUCUAGCUGAAGUCUCAGAGUCUCCAUUUGGUGAAGGAGCUCUGAGCAGAGCCUUGCUGACUUUACCCUGCGGUGUGGCUGCAUCUCAGUACUGCCUCCAUCCAUCAGCGCAUUACUGGGCAGCAGCAGUCAUCGACACCCAUCAUCAUCCCUGAAUUUUUGUACAUUCAGGGGCCCAGGAGAGACUAAAAGCUAUGAAGGAAUUUGAUGUGGGGAACCCCAACAGAGCCAAGAAGGUACCCAGAGACUUUAGAAACUAUAGGGACUUACUUCUCAGGACCCCUUUGAAACCUAGACCUAAGAGGAUGAUUUGAUGCUGAGACAGCAUGACAUGCAGAGUGACUCAAUCCAACAGAAUGCUAAGUCUCAGUGAGCUGUCACCCCAUUCUGCACCAGAUGAAUAACUCUGCAACACUCAGAUGAUUGUGACCUCCUCCUGCCGUGCCUGCCCACAUGUCACCAGUAGAAGCAAGAAUGAACAUUUGUGAAAAAAUUAGUCUGCAUUGUCAAUUGUCAUCCUGGAGAGAAAAUGACUUGAUCUUCAGUGAUAACAGGAAUAUUACCAUCUUUCAGCCCCAUCUCAUUUUUCUUCACUUACUCAGAGUCUUACUCAGCGACCUAAUACUGAGUCUACUGAUGUCUUCACCUGCAAGAGCAACCUCCUUCCCAAAUCAGUUCCCACUCCUAACAGGAGCAGAGGCAAUAUCAGUAGCCCUUUUUUAUUUUUUUUCCUGAGACAGAGUCUUGCUCUGUCGCCCAGGCUGGAGUGCAGUGGCACAAUCUCGGUUUACUGCAACCUCUGCCUCCUGGGUUUGAGCGAUUCCCCUGCCUCAGCCUCCUGAGUAACUGGGAUUACAGGCACCUGCCACCAUGCCCGGCUGAUUUUUUGUAGUUUUAGUAGAGAUGGGGUUUCACCGUGUUGGUCAGGCUGGUCAAUUCCUGACCUCGUGAUCCACCCACCUCCCAAAGUGCUGGGAUUACAGGCAUGAGCCACUGUGCCCAGCCGCCUUUUUUGUUCUCUUCCUUGAUCUUAGGAGUUUAGGAAAUGAUCACACUCCCAGAUCCAAGAUCUGGUGUUCUACCCUCAAAGCCAAUGGACUCACAAGAUCCCACCAAGCAGAUCUAAAUGAUCUAGGACUAAUAAUGCAGGCUCUGAAGUUAGAGAGACUUAGAGUCAAAUCUGAACUCUGCCACUUAACCUUGCACAAGGCCAGUGUCUCAAUUAGGUUAGGAUAGUCAACAAUGCUAAAUAAGAAAAUUCAUUUCUCGGCUGGGCACGGUGGUUCACACCUGUAAUCCCAGCACUUUGCGAGGCCGAGGCAGGCGGAUCACGAGGUCAGGAGUUCAAGACCAGCCUGGUCAACAUGGUAAAACCCUGUCUCUGCUAAAAUACAAAAAUUAGCUGGGCGUGAUGGCACACGCCUGUAAUCCCAGCUACUCGGGAGGCUGAGGCAGGAGAAUUGCUUGAACUCAGGAGGCAGAGGCUGCAGUGAGACCAGAUGGCACCACUGCACUCCAGCCUAGGCGACAGAGCAAGACUCCAUCUCAAAAAAAGAAAAUUAAUUUCUCAUCACAAUAUACGUCCAACAUAGGUUAGUGGAAGGCAGUGCUCCAUAUUAUUACUCAAGAACCCAGGCUGAGAAAGGUUCCAUCUUAUAAUGUCACCAUCACAACACAUGGUGUUCAGGGAUACUAAGACAGGGGAAAGAUGAGGGAUGGGCCAAGUUUGAGGUUUUAACCAUCUCAUCCCAGAAAUGAUACAAUGGCAUUCCAGUUUUGGUCCAUUGGCUAGAACUAGUCAUGUAGCCCUGCCAACCUGCAAGGGCCUAAGAAUCAUCACCUUCCUUAUUACCAGAAAGUGGAGGAGAACUGGAUAUGAGUAAAUAAUUUUACUGCAGCCCAGCACACAGAGUGUGAUACUACUGUGUAGUUACUUUCUUCCUUCAAGUUUCCUGUAGGUCCAAUAGACCAAGGAUUCAUUAAGCUAAGGAAGGGCCCUGUUGUUUGUAUAACCACCCAUCAGAAGACUCUAUCCCCCAUGUCACCCUCAACCUCAAUGCCACUCCACAAUGAACAGGCUCAGUUCACCAGCAUGGGCUUAUGACCUAGGCUUUUCUUCCUAGCCAGUCUUGCCCUAUUGUCCUGCUUGAUUUUUUGGCCUGCCCCUCUAAGCUUGAGCCUUAUCCUAAUAAGAAACUUUGUAGGACUGGAAGCUUCAUAUCUUGUUCAGCUCUUGCCAGUUCUCCUUAUGAGCAGUCAAUCAAUGUUUUAGCAGUGGAGCCAUCUUGGAUCCUCAAACUUCUUGGAGGCCAAAGGGCUAAACAAUUCCCAGUCACAGCGAAUUUGCUGCCAAAGAUACACUCACUCAGCCUUUCCAAGGAAGUGACUGGAUAUGUAAAAAAGGGUUAUGUACAAAGAUGUUUAUUGAAACAUUAUUUGUAAUAGCAAAAUAUUGGGAAUAACCUAAAUGUCCACCAAAGGAGAAUGCUUAUAAAUAUGAAUCAUCCACAUGAUGGAUGUAUAAGUUAUGCCUGCCAAGUUCAUCAGGGUAAACAGAAGAGACAAAAUCAGAUUAUUUAUUAGGAUGGAGUUGAUUUCCUAACACAGUGGGACCUGCUUUCAUUUUGUUUGCCCUGCAGCUCUACUAUCCCAGAUUUUAUUGAUUCAUUUCAGGGCCAUUCUAUAGGCAGCAUCUCCACUGGGCAGCCAGGGCCCAGCUCAUGUGUAGUUGGGUAGCCUUUGCUACUGCAUUGGUCCCCAAUCCAAUCAUCUGUGAUUAGGGGAGCGGCUAGCUCUCCUCGAAAGUAGAGAAGGUUGUCCUGGCCUCUAAUGAAUUAUCCUUUAGUCAGUCUAAUUCAGUGAAAUAUUAUGUACCCUUUAAAAAUUGUAUUUACCAGAAGUUUUUAAUGACCUGGAAAAGUAUGCAGGAAAUAUCGUUAGGUUUUUAAAAUUUAUAAAAUUGAAUCUAUACUCUGACAUAUGUUAUAACAUAAAUUAACCUUAAAAGACAGACGCGGUGGCUAACGCCUGUAAUCCCAGCACUUUAGGAGGCCAAGGCGGGUGGAUCACCUGAGGUCAGGAGUUCAAGACCAGAGUGGCCAACAUGGCAAAACCCCAUCUCUACUAACAAUACAAAAUUAGUGGGGCAUGGUGGUGGGAACCUAUAAUCCCAGCUAUUCCGUAAGCUGAGGCAUGAGAAUUGCUUGAACCCGGGGGGCAGAGGUUGCAGUGAGCUAAGAUCGUGCCACUUCACACUAGCCUGGGCAAAAGAGCGAAACUCUAUCUCAAAAUAAAUAAAUAAAUAAAAAUAAAUGAACCAAGUGAAAUAAGCCAAUCAAAAAAAGGGCAAUAUUGUAUGAUUCCACUUUCUUUUUUUUUUUUUUUUUUUUUUUUUGAGAUGGAGUCUCACUCUGUAGCCCAAGCUGGAGUGCAGUGGCGUGAUCUCGGCCUUCACUACAACCUUUAUCUCUUGGGGCUCAAGCAAUUCUCCUGCCUCGGCCUCCCAAGAAGUUGGGACUAGAGGCUUGCACAACCACACCCAGUUAAUUUUAUGUAUUUUUAGUAGAGACGGGGUUUCACCAUGUUGCUCUGGGUGGUCUGGAACUCCUGAGCUCAGGCAAUCCACCCUCCUCAGCCUCCCAGAGUGGUGGGAUUAUAGGCGUGAGCCACCAUGCCCAGCCAUGAUUCCACUUACAUGAGGUCCCAGGAGUAGUAAAAUCAUAAUGACAGAAAAUAGAAGGGUGGUUGCCAGAGGCUGGAGGGAGAGGGAAAUAGGGUUUAAUGUUUAAUGGGUAUAGAGUUUCAGUUUUGCAAGAUGAAUAAAGUUCUGGAGACGAAUGGAUGGUGGUGAUGGUUGCACAACAAUGUGAAUGUACUUAAUACCACUGAACUGUACAUUUAAAAUGGCUAAAAUGGUAAAUUUUAUGUUAUGUGUAUUUUACCACAAUUUAAAGAAUUGAAUCUAUAGUUUCAUCACAAAUGUGUGAGGUUUUCUUUUUAAACAAAUGUUUGAGUAUAUGUGUGUGCAUGUGUGUGUGUAUAAUUAUGCCUAGUGUUCUGCCUUUGGUAAUGAGAGGAAGAUGCUACAGUUUCUUCCCUCAUGCUCUUCCUUUAGCUAGUGCAAGGGUUGGCAAACUGUGGCCCUUCAGCCAUGUCCAGCUUCUCAUUUGUUUUCAUAAAUAAAGUUUUAUUGAAACACAGUCAUGCCCGUUCAUUUAUGGAUUGUCUGCUUUUAUCCAACAAUGGCAGAG